rnacentral:misc_RNA from 1 species
GAUGAAGAACGUAGCGAAAUGCGAUACUUGGUGUGAAUUGCAGAAUCCCGUGAACCAUCGAGUCUUUGAACGCAAGUUGCGCCCGAAGCCAUUAGGCCGAGGGCACGCCUGCCUGGGCGUCACACGUCGUUGCCCCCCCAUCUACUCCUUCGGGAUUGCGGGGGCCGGAUGAUGGCCUCCCGUGCGCCUCGUCGCGCGGUUGGCCUAAAUGCCAAGUCCUCGGCGACGCACGCCACGACAAUCGGUGGUUGCGAAACCUCGGUUGCCUGUCGUGUGCGGUCGUCGCGCAUCGAGGGCUCGAAAAAAUUGCCGGGCUUCGGCUCGACUUUCAACGCGACCCCAGGUCAGGCGGGGUUACCCGCUGAAUUUAAGCAUAUCAAUAAGCGGAGGA